AUGGUCAGGUGGUCUGAGAUCUGCAAACCUCGCGACCAGGGCGGACUCGGGAUCAUGUCCUCCAAACGCAUGAACAUUGCCCUUCUGACUCGGUGGCUCUGGAGGAUUGCCAACGGAGAUGGUGGCAUGUGGCUUCACAUCAUUCAGCAGAAAUACCUCCGCGUCCAGCCCCUCGCCUUCUGCCAGCGAUCUGGGGGCUCCCAGUUCUGGCAAUCCAUCAUUCAGCUCCUCCCUGUCCUCCGGAUCGGGACCUCGAUCGAGAUUGGUUCCGGCACCGCCACGCUGUUAUGGUUCGAUUGA
rnacentral:rRNA from 1 species